rnacentral:tRNA from 1 species
UGCUCUAUAGUUUAUUGAAAACGAUAGUUUGCAAAACUUUCAACGCCUUUGGCUAGAGCAU